rnacentral:sRNA from 1 species
GUUUACCCUGGAUUGCCAGUUGCUUUCCCGAAAAAAUCUGCAGUUUCACGUUUGUGUGUUAAUUGUUGUCAGUUUCCUUCCCGCAGAUAUUUCAGCAGUUUCACGCUUCUGUGUUAAUGAACAACGGGAAAUUGAGCAACAUUAGCGACAAGCAUUAUCCAUUUUAUACUCAUUGAAAAUCUACAAAGGGUCGUGACAACUCAAACGAAGAGUGGCACGGCUGUGGAACUACUGACUGCACUAGCGCUGGCUGUAAGAAAAACGCCGAUGGUAGCAACGUUUGCUGUUGCCAAGGAUAUCUCUGUAAUUCCGGAAUGAGUUUCUCAAAAACUGAAUUUUCUUCACUUCUUCUUACAGUUCUUUCGGUGAUUUACAUGUACGUUUAAUGAGAAGAGCAUGUAUUGAUUUUUGCCAGAAAAUGAAAAUAUUUGUCAGCAUUUUGAAACA